rnacentral:rRNA from 2 species
AAACUUUCAACAACGGAUCUCUUGGUUCUGGCAACGAUGAAGAACGCAGCGAAAUGCGAUAAGUAAUGUGAAUUGCAGAAUUCCGUGAAUCAUCGAAUCUUUGAACGCACAUUGCGCCCACCAGUACUCUGGUGGGCAUGCCUGUCCGAGCGUCAUUU